ACAAGCUGUCUAUUUUCUCUUUUGGUAUAAUUGCCUAUAUAUAACUCUCAAAAUUUCGAAAAUAUUUUAUUUAUUCUUACUUUUUUUUUCCAAUAUACUUCUUAUAUGUUUCUCCGUUAUUCCAAAAUAUCCCUGUCGUUACCAGCCGUUAAGUUAACUUGGAUUAAACGUGAGUUAAAUAUCUACCACAAUUAAAAAAAAUUAAAAUAUCACUUUUGCCCUUAACUUAAGGGCGAAUAAGAAAUAUUGGUGAUGGUAGAAGGGUAUAUUUGAAAAGACCAAAAAGAUAAAAUAUUUUUUGUGCCCUAAUUUAAGAGCAAAUAAGAAAAGUCAGUGAUGGUAGAAACUUAGAAGAUUAUAUUUGAAAGGGCAAAAUAGUAAUUUUAUAAAGAUAACAGAGUUCAUUAAUAGAUUUUAACUUAAGGGUAUAUUUGAAAUAGAUUGGAACGUAAAAAGGGCAUUUUUAAUAUUAGACUUUUCAGAAAGGUAAAUUUGAAAGUCGAAAACUUUUCAGGGGUAUAUAAGCAAUUGCCCUUUGUUUUUUUAUUUUUAUUAUUUUUUUAUUUUUUAUGAAUAAACUCAAUUAAAAGCAUAAAACAAUUAGAUUUCAAAUUUUAAAUUUUAAAUUCUAACUAUCAAGUUUUUAGUCAAGCACUAG
rnacentral:lncRNA from 1 species